rnacentral:lncRNA from 1 species
GUUCUUUUAAUAUUGAAGAGUGCAGUUGGUCAGCUGGUGAUGGUAGUACACUGCAGAAAUUGCCCUUCUUGACUGUAAACUCAUGGUUUUUGCUUAAGAAUUAAGUUGCUCGGUUUUUGAAAGCGCUGUUCUGAUUUCUAGCUGAAGAUGAAAAAAAAAAACUUUGAUUGGGUUUUCUUUUUGGUCGUGCAAGAAAUGAACCUUCCAGAUCUGAUGUUGCAUGGAUUCCAUGUUUUGUAAAUUCUGUGACCAUUUCUAUUGCAUUAGUCUGAUCCAUUCUGUUGAGUGUAAUCACUGCAUUAGUCUGAUCGAUAAAUAACAGUACUUUUGAUGUGAUGUAGCAGCUUAAUGACGGGUGACUAUUGCCAUGUCAUCUCUUGGUAGUUGAAUUAGCUGUCAUAUUAUUACUUUUAUUAGAAAAAUUGAUCGAAAUUUGAGCAGUGAUCUAAUUGCAAUAAAAAUUAAAGCUUAGUAACUUGAUUGAAAUAAAUCGAACUCCAGUGACCUAAAUGAAAUUGUACCCGAAGUUCAGUGAUCAAUGUAUAAUUUACUGUAAUUUUCUUUUAGCCCUAGCUCUCUGAUUGUCAAUCAAAAAUGCUGUCAAUAAUUCUGUAGAUCUGUUGACAUAGAGGUAUCUCAGGUAGGAAAAAUUGCUGUAGAUUUAUUGUGGAAAAAGGGUUAGUGUAUAUUUCUAUAACUUUUUCUCACGAUGCUGUUUAGUUAUAGCUAGUGAUUUAAGUGCCGGGGCUUGGGGUUGUGUCAAGCACUUGCCGGCAGUAUGACAUGGUGCGUGUCGUGCCGUUGUCCCAUUCAUAAAAAUAACCUAUAUGUCAGCAUAUUAUAGGAUGAAAUAUAUAUUUUCCUUAGUAUCAAUAUAUUCUGAUUGUUUAUAUUUUUAUGAAACCUUUUGCGCAUUAUGAUAUAAAUUCUUGCUAACUUUAAAGAAGAGAGAGUUUUGAGUUGUGCCAUUGAUACGAGAGUUGUAUUGUGUUGAAAUUUUGUUGGCACAGUGCAGCAUUGUGGGGACAACUUAUGUCGAUGAGCACUUAAAUUCUUUGUUAUAAUUCAGGUGGAUGCUCAUCCAAUAUACCGGUGGCUUUUAUAAAGUUUUAAUAUGCUUUUGUCUAGUUGUUACUAUUGAGAAAUACAAACUGCAACAACAGUUUUGUCAUGCAACAGUCUAUAUCUUCUUUUUUUUCUUUUUUUUUUUUCUCCAGCUCUUGGUUUUUGCUUUUUAGCACCAGUUUGGUUCGGGAUUAAGGGAUGGAAUAAUUUCUUAAUCCCAAAAUCAUUCCCAAAUACCCAAUUUGGGAGGUGGGGUUAGUUAACCUCACCCCAAAUGGGUUAUUCCGGAAUAGCCCAUUUGGGGUGGGAUUAGCUAACCCCACUCCACCCCACUACUCCAACAAAACAAAACACUAUUUUAUCCACUAUUCUUCUUAUCGCACCUACUCCAACCAAACACUAUUUUAUCUAUACUUGGACUAAAUCCAAUUAUCAACUAAACACAAAAUUACUUAACCCCAUCUUUACCCUGAAUUUAACUUUAUUUCUGGAAUAACAAGUUUUUAUUUAAUCCCGAACUAAACGCUUUUGUCUGUAAAUUGGGAGAGGAGCCACCGGUGGAAGAAUGACUCAUACUUCGUCCCUUACUCUUGCUCGAGGCAAGCUCUUGAGGCCUUUUUAAUGACUCAUACUAUCUGUGGUCUUAUCAUCCUUGGUCAGAUCAUCCAAACUAUAUUCAAGAAUCAAUUGUUGCAGCUCUUUCUUGUGACAUCAGAGUAAACAAAUUAGUUCCACACGUGGUGACACUAAAGCAGUCAGAGAGAAUGUGAUUUUUCUAUUGUUGUUACCUUUUUGAGGGGAAGGGCAUUACGAGAACACAAACAGACAGAUAGUAGAUAAGUUAAAUGUGCAAAGAUUGAGGCCAUGUCCUCCUCCCUCGAAAACGUUGUGGCUCUGCGCUUGUACUACAGAUAAUGCGAGCUAAUACAGGUUACGAGUGUGGGAUGUACCGACCGUCCCUAGCGUAAGUGGCAAAGUUUACGGGUUAAGAGUGUGGGAUGUAUCGACCGUCUCUAACGCAAGUGGCAAAGUUUGGUACCCGAGAUUUCAAGUUCGAAUCUUCGUUGAUUCACAUUUCCAACUAAGUUUAUUUUUAAAUGAAAUAAAUAAAGCGGGUAGCAUGCUACCUAUCUCUCUCAAAAAAAGAAAAAAGAAAAAAAGAGAGAGCGUGGGAUGUUAGAUGAGAAUCAAUUACACGAACUUGAUGCAAUUGGGACGUGAGUUCUGAGUAUGAUUCAAUUUAACACAUGUGAUGAUUUAAUGGACAAAAAAUUCAUGAAGAUGGUAAAGUUUUUGCACCUGUGAGAUUAGUUAUCAUUGCUUGGUGCAUGAAAUUGUAUUGAAUUGCUAUAUGGAUUUGUCCGUCUGUUUUCGUCCAUGCUGAUUGAUCUAUCAUAAUAGAUCAGUUGAUAAUUUGUUUCUUUGUCUUCCUAGUUCAUGUCUGAGCAUCACGAACAACCUUAACAAACAAUAACCUUCAUGGUGUCUUCCCGCUUCAUUAGUUGAACCUUUUAUUCUUUAACAUAUAAUUACAAAAUUAAAUUUUUUCAACCGCUUUAUACUUUGUGCUAUAAGUGCAAUGCUUUUUUCCUUUUCUUCUCUUUUGGGUUCUUUUAAUAUUGAAGAGUGCAGUUGGUCAGCUGGUGAUGGUAGUACACUGCAGAAAUUGCCCUUCUUGACUGUAAACUCAUGGUUUUUGCUUAAGAAUUAAGUUGCUCGGUUUUUGAAAGCGCUGUUCUGAUUUCUAGCUGAAGAUGAAAAAAAAAAACUUUGAUUGGGUUUUCUUUUUGGUCGUGCAAGAAAUGAACCUUCCAGAUCUGAUGUUGCAUGGAUUCCAUGUUUUGUAAAUUCUGUGACCAUUCUAUCUGCAUUAGUCUGAUCCAUUCUGUUGAGUGUAAUCACUGCAUUAGUCUGAUCGAUAAAUAACAGUACUUUUGAUGUGAUGUAGCAGCUUAAUGACGGGUGACUAUUGCCAUGUCAUCUCUUGGUAGUUGAAUUAGCUGUCAUAUUAUUACUUUUAUCAGAAAAAUUGAUCGAAAUUUGAGCAGUGAUCUAAUUGCAAUAAAAAUUAAAGCUUAGUAACUUGAUUGAAAUAAAUCGAACUCCAGUGACCUAAAUGAAAUUGUACCCGAAGUUCAGUGAUCAAUGUAUAAUUUACUGUAAUUUUCUUUUAGCCCUAGCUCUCUGAUUGUCAAUAAAAAAUGCUGUCA